GGGAGGCGGAGCUUGCAGGGAGCCAAGAUUGUACCACUGCACUCCAGCCUGGGCGACAGAGCGAGAUUCCAUCUCAGAAAAAAAAAAAGAAAGAAAAAAAAAGAAGGAUAAAACCCAAGCCACCUCCUAUGGGGACGGUGCAGACUUGCUCCCCUGAAAUGCUUUGUUGCAAUCAAUGACCAUGGUCUGUGUCAAAGAGUGUUAUAAAGCAGGAAUAUUCAGUGGGGCUAUGGAAAAGAUAAGGCUAAAGAUGCUGUUCAUUAUCAUCGCACAGUGUUUUCUUGAGAAAAAAUGCCUCCCAAUGGUAGGAACAGCAGGGCCAUCUCUCUGAGCAGCCCUGUGAUUUUACAGUAGACUUUACUGUCCUCUUGGAGUUGCUGCUGGAAAGCAGAAAGCUGCAUUUGUAGCCCUCCCAUAGUCAUGGAUAGAACACUCAAGCAUAGUUUGGAUACUGAGCUUGUUCCUUGCUGCAACUUAUUUUCCUACCCUACUUUCUUCUAACCUCAUCUUCCUAACUAGUAUUUUAUCUUGCGACAGUGUGUACAUUUUCUAAGACGUGCAUGAGAGUUUAGCCAAGUAUACAGUCAGAAAGAAUACAAUCUACACAGGACUGCCCUCACUUCUGAUACCACCUGAAAGUUCAAGGAGUUCCAAAAACUACCCUCAGUUUUAGUAAUUUGCUAGAAAUAGUCACAGAAUACAAUGAAAGCUGUUAUAUUCAUGGUUAUGUCUUAUUGUAGGGAAAGGACACAUAUUAAACUCAGCCUAGGAAAGAAGCACACAGAGUCCAGGGAAGUACUAAGUAUGUCCUUUCCCAUGGGGUUAGGACAGGGUACUCUUCUGGCAUCAGUGUGUAACAAUACACACACAAUAUUUCCAACCAGGAAAUCUCGCCCAAGCCUCAGAGUUUUUACUAGGACUAAAUCACACGCUGCCCACAUGGCUGACUGUCAGUCACUGGCCCUUCCAAAAGUCAAGCUGACACCUUUGGUCUCCAUUCCCUCUGGAGGUAGAAAUGAUAGUGCUUGGCAUAAAUCCCUCAUCAUAAAUCACACUGUUGAACUGUCUGAUGGCCAAGGCCCCUAGACAAACAAAGACACUUUGAUCAGGCCUAGAGAUCGGCACCUCAUAGUGGAGGGCAAAUGCUAGACCUGUCUUUGGGAAAGGCUGAUUCUUCGCUAGGCAACGAAAAUUCAUCUUUAGAACAAGGCAACGAGAAGGAAGGAAGGAACAAACCAACCAAUCAAACCAAAUCAGUCCAGGAUGGCCAGACUCCUCAAUCCUGCCCUGCACUGACAAUGACUGCUGGAGAACAAGAUCCCUCGGGGAGAAGUCCAGGGUGAAGGAUUCCAGCAGGGACCCUCUGUCCUCAUAGCCAUUGAGCCCCUUUAUGAGUUGGUACCCUGGGUUGAAGAAGGGGGUUAAGGGUGCCACCCAACUCUGAGUGAGGCGAGGAGAGAUAUCACAUAGUGUCUUCUGAGACCAAGGAAGGUGCAGAGAUGCUGAUGCAGAUUGAGGCUGACUUGGACUCAUUCUGUCACCUCUAUUUAUUGGGUAAGAUUCCCAGGCAUAGAAGAUUAGGAUGUGCAGUAGAAAGUGGGAGUCCUGGCAGCUUUGCAGGACCAUUUGGGAAGGACACAGGGUCAUCGUCACAGUUGACACCCAGGCCCUUAGAGUGACUUUCAUGAAUCUUCAGGCCGCACCUGGACAAAACAGCUAUUGUUUCUCCCCUGGCACUCUGAGGAGUCCUGGGGAACUCAGAGGCCUGUGAUUGCCCCCCUCCCACCGCCACCAAAAAAAAAAAAAAAAA
ensembl:lncRNA